rfam:Solanum lycopersicum cultivar Heinz 1706 chromosome 8, whole genome shotgun sequence.
AUCUUCCGGUAGUCCUGUCGCAGAUGACUUUCGCCCAUUUAUAGAACCACACUUUCUUUAAUUUGAAUUCUAUGUGGUAGGACGAGAGUCAUCUGUGACAGGAUAAUGGAAGAU